GAUGAACGCUGGCGGCGUGCCUAAUACAUGCAAGUCGAGCGAACAGACGAGGAGCUUGCUCCUCUGACGUUAGCGGCGGACGGGUGAGUAACACGUGGAUAACCUACCAAUAAGACUGGGAUAACUUCGGGAAACCGGAGCUAAUACCGGAUAAUAUAUUGAACCGCAUGGUUCAAUAGUGAAAGACGGUUUUGCUGUCACUUAUAGAUGGAUCCGCGCCGCAUUAGCUAGUUGGUAAGGUAACGGCUUACCAAGGCGACGAUGCGUAGCCGACCUGAGAGGGUGAUCGGCCACACGGGAACUGAGACACGGUCCAGACUCCUACGGGAGGCAGCAGUAGGGAAUCUUCCGCAAUGGGCGAAAGCCUGACGGAGCAACGCCGCGUGAGUGAUGAAGGUCUUCGGAUCGUAAAACUCUGUUAUUAGGGAAGAACAAAUGUGUAAGUAACUAUGCACGUCUUGACGGUACCUAAUCAGAAAGCCACGGCUAACUACGUG
rnacentral:rRNA from 1 species